GAUGAACGCUGGCGGCGUGCUUAACACAUGCAAGUCGAACGAAGCAUUUGCGACAGAUUUUUUCGGAAUGAAGUUGCUUAUGGCUGAGUGGCGGACGGGUGAGUAACGCGUGGGUAACCUGCCUUGUACUGGGGGAUAGCAGCUGGAAACGGCUGGUAAUACCGCAUAAGCGCACAAUGUUGCAUGACAUGGUGUGAAAAACUCCGGUGGUAUAAGAUGGACCCGCGUCUGAUUAGCUAGUUGGUGAGAUAACAGCCCACCAAGGCGACGAUCAGUAGCCGACCUGAGAGGGUGACCGGCCACAUUGGGACUGAGACACGGCCCAGACUCCUACGGGAGGCAGCAGUGGGGAAUAUUGCACAAUGGAGGAAACUCUGAUGCAGCGACGCCGCGUGAGUGAAGAAGUAAUUCGUUAUGUAAAGCUCUAUCAGCAGGGAAGAUAGUGACGGUACCUGACUAAGAAGCUCCGGCUAAAUACGUG
rnacentral:rRNA from 1 species